rnacentral:rRNA from 1 species
GAUGAACGCUAGCUACAGGCUUAACACAUGCAAGUCGCGGGGCAGCAUGGGGGUUGCUUACAAUCCCCGAUGGCGACCGGCGCACGGGUGAGUAACGCGUAUCCAACCUGCCCUUCACCACGGGAUAACCCGGCGAAAGUCGGACUAAUACCGUAUGUUGUCCAUUGACGGCAUCCGAUUUGGACGAAAGGUUUGGCGGUGAAGGAUGGGGAUGCGUCCGAUUAGCUGGACGGCGGGGUGACGGCCCACCGUGGCGACGAUCGGUAGGGGUUCUGAGAGGAAGGUCCCCCACACUGGAACUGAGACACGGUCCAGACUCCUACGGGAGGCAGCAGUGAGGAAUAUUGGUCAAUGGGCGUAAGCCUGAACCAGCCAAGUAGCGUGCAGGAGGACGGCCCUAUGGGUUGUAAACUGCUUUUAUGCGGGGAUAAAGUGGCCCACGUGUGGGUUUUUGCAGGUACCGCAUGAAUAAGGACCGGCUAAUUCCGUG